AUAUAGAUUAGAUAUCUUAUUUUUUAUAUAAUUUUAUAUCACAUACAACAAACAUUGGAUUUCAAGAUCUAGAGUUUUGUAGAAAAAUAAGUUCUUUCUUUUGCAUUCUUCUUCAUAGGAUCUAAUCAUAUGGCACCCCUACACAUCAUAAGAGCAUCCCAUCGAAUGAAAAGAGAGGGCCUUUAAACCCUUCUUGCUUCUA
rnacentral:lncRNA from 1 species